UACGUAGGUGGCGAGCGUUGUCCGGAUUUACUGGGCGUAAAGGGAGCGUAGACGGCGAUGCAAGCCAGAUGUGAAAGCCCGGGGCUCAACCCCGGGACUGCAUUUGGAACUGUGUGGCUGGAGUGUCGGAGAGGCAGGCGGAAUUCCUAGUGUAGCGGUGAAAUGCGUAGAUAUUAGGAGGAACACCAGUGGCGAAGGCGGCCUGCUGGACGAUGACUGACGUUGAGGCUCGAAAGCGUGGGGAGCAAACAGG
rnacentral:rRNA from 1 species